rnacentral:rRNA from 1 species
GUGAACGCUGGCGGUAGGCCUAACCCAUGCAAGUCGAACGGCAGCACAGUAAGAGCUUGCUCUUACGGGUGGCGAGUGGCGGACGGGUGAGGAAUACAUCGGAAUCUACUUUUUCGUGGGGGAUAACGUAGGGAAACUUACGCUAAUACCGCAUACGACCUACGGGUGAAAGCAGGGGAUCUUCGGACCUUGCGCGAUUGAAUGAGCCGAUGUCGGAUUAGCUAGUUGGCGGGGUAAAGGCCCACCAAGGCGACGAUCCGUAGCUGGUCUGAGAGGAUGAUCAGCCACACUGGAACUGAGACACGGUCCAGACUCCUACGGGAGGCAGCAGUGGGGAAUAUUGGACAAUGGGCGCAAGCCUGAUCCAGCCAUACCGCGCGGGUGAAGAAGGCCUUCGGGUUGUAAAGCCCUUUUGUUGGGAAAGAAAAGCAGCAGGUUAAUACCCCGCUGUUCUGACGGUACCCAAAGAAUAAGCACCGGCUAACUUCGUG